GCCUUCGUGGUGUAACGGUGCACACUCUAUGUAUUCGAGAGGUCCGGGUUCGAAUCUCGUCGAGGGCA
rnacentral:tRNA from 1 species